CUUUUCGCGACGCUCGCUGAGGCGCUCGGCGUUGCUUCGAGCAGCGGGUGACUGGGCGCGAAGAUGCUGCGCGCUGGGCUGGGAAGAAGGCGCUGCCGCUGUGGCGGGCUGUGGGGGAGCCCGUGCCCCGCAGCUGCCGGCUGCAGCGCCUCGCCGCGCUGCCCCGGAGCUUUGAGAGCCGCCUUCCUUAGCAACGGCGGUGGGGCGCGGGGCGGAGGCGCUCCGCCGGCAGGUGCUAGUAAAGUAAAGCCAUUGGAUGGUGUGAAAAUUCUUGAUUUAACAAGGGUGCUUGCAGGGCCCUUUGCCACAAUGAAUUUAGGAGAUCUAGGAGCUGAAGUUAUAAAAGUGGAAAGACCAGGAGCUGGUGAUGAUACAAGAGCCUGGGGCCCACCUUUUGCUGGAACAGAAAGUGUUUAUUUUCUCAGUGUCAAUAGAAAUAAAAAGAGUAUAGCAAUCAACAUGAAGGAUUCAAAAGGAGCAAAGCUAAUCAGAGAGCUUGCAGCAGUGUCUGAUGUUUUUGUGGAAAACUACGUCCCCGGGAAACUGGCUGAAAUGGGUCUGGGUUAUCAAGACAUUAAAAAGAUUGCUCCUCACCUAGUGUACUGUUCAAUAACAGGUUAUGGUCAGACUGGUCCAAUGGUUCAGAGAGGUGGAUAUGACUCCAUUGCAGCUGCCGUUUCUGGUCUCAUGCAUAUCACAGGUCAUGAGGAUGGUGAGCCAGUUAGAGCAGGAGUAGCCAUGACAGACCUUGCUACUGGGUUGUAUACAUACGGAGCAAUUAUGGCUGGUUUGCUUCAGAAGUAUAAGACGGGGAAAGGACUGCACAUUGACUGCAAUCUCUUGUCAUCUCAGGUUGCAUGUCUCACUCAUGUAGCAGCUAAUUACCUUAACUGCAAAAUGGAAGCAAAACGCUGGGGCACUGCUCAUGGGAGUAUUGUUCCAUAUCAGGCUUUUAAGACCAAGGAUGGCUACAUUGUGGUGGGAGCUGGAAAUGAUCAUCAGUUUGUCACUGUGUGCAAGAUCCUGAAUUUGACUGAAGUUAGUAAGGAUUCCAGAUUCAAAACUAACACACUCAGAGUCCAGAACAGGAAAGAACUUAUUGAUAUAUUAUCAACCCGGUUUUCAGAAAAAGCAACGAUUGAAUGGUUGCAGCUCUUUGAAGGUAGUGGGGUUCCAUAUGGCCCAAUCAACAAUAUACAGCAAGUAUUCUCGGAUCCUCAGGUGCUGCACAAUGGCCUUGUGAUGGAAAUGAAUCACCCAACAGCUGGGAGGAUAGCUGUUCCAGUAUCUCAUCCUUUGGACAAGGUGUCCCUUGGAAGACUUUAAAAUAUUUGAUCCUUCUCAGAAUCUAUCACUUGUAUGUUGAUAGGGAACCGAGACAACAACAGACCAGCUGUCAGAUACAGUGAAUUUGCCGUGUCACAUCCCAAACCACCUCCGCUUGUUGGACAGCAUACAGUGGAGAUACUGAAGGGCAUGCUGGGGUACGAGGAUGAUGCCAUAGAAGAAUUGCUCCGUAUUGGUGUUGUUGCUCAGCAUGAGGUCAGAUAAGGAACAUUAGCUACAUUCCUUCACACUGAGUUCACAUUACUUUGUCCUCUCUUUGCUCCCUUCAGCUCCCCUAAUGGGACUCAAAGAGAAGACAUAAUUUAAUUCCUAAUUUUCUUCCAUGUGUGUUUGUAUGAUUUUAACACUGAUGUAUCAAAUAAACAAUCUCAUACUGGCUGAGUGAAAGAUUUUCUUGGGGGGCGGGGUGGGGAUAAAUGUAAUUAUACAGUCCUGUGUGGCUACUCAUUUUCUAUACUUCAUAUGGGAAAUGGAGUUCUUAUCAUAAUUACAGUAAUUACCUAAAUGUUUGUCCCCAGAAGGACAUAAUCUUAGUGAAAAGAAACAGAGCCUUAAAAAUACGUAUACUAGAUUCUCCACUUGCAGAAAUCUGUCUUGUGCAAUUAUUUUAGCAGAAAAUCAAUUAUGUAACAAUCGGUGGUUUAUCUGAUAGAUUUGGAACAGAAUCAUCAGUCAUGAACUCUUUAUUCAUCUUUAUCUUAAAUCAUGGGUAGAGUAACCAUUCCAAAGCUCACUUCUGUUCCCUGGUAUUCCAAAAUACCAAUAUGUCUUUAUGUUACAUUGCACGUUCAUGACAAUCCCAGUACAUUUGCAAAAACACGCUGAAAAUGGCACAGUUCUUCAGUUACAGAACAAGCCUGCUCCAUGACCAGUUGAGAGGCAAACUAAGUGUUUUGUGACUUUUUUCAGAAAGGCCCAAGGUACUGUUAGUUAAACAUCAAUUAAAACAAAACCACAUGCUGGACAUCAAAUACCAGAACUUGCCAGACUUCUCAGUCUAGUUCUGUGGGUAGGUACUGAUCCAUAUCUCCGACUCUAGUUGCCAUCCAAAGCAGCUUUCACUAUAGAGAAAACAGAUUGAAAUCUGUGCAAAACUCUUGACUCAGUCCUACCCCCAUGAUUAAAAUAUGGUGAGAGUUGACAAACCUUCCUCUUAUUUAGUAAUGCCAUAUCCUGCAGUAGGGUGGCUUGUAAUAGUAAGGCACUGUGCACUGCGAGAAGGUGGAAGAAUUUGAUCCGUGGCAAAUAGUAAGGAAAAGAUUAAAGAAGAGCCAUUUCUUCUCUACAAACCAAUUUGGCAGUACUUUACUCACAGAAGAAAUGCCGCUUUAUCACAGCAUGUAAUUUACAGCUAAAGUAAACUCAGUGUAUGGGAAGGGUCUAACCUUUGUUGUGUGCACCCUGGGAGCGAGGCAAAGCCUUUCUGUUCCUAGAACUAAAUAAAACUAACUCAAAUUGACACUCAACACAUAACAUCGGUAUUUCUCCCAAAGUAUCGGAAACAGGCCUGGCAUUAUAACUAGCUUGUCACUUUGUUUCCACUCUAACAAACAACAUCCUCUGUAUUACAUUUGAACUUCACAACUCUGCAUUACCUUCUGGGAGACGAAAAGAGGUUAUUACAUAAUCAAAUUGCAGUGGAACCCCACUGUGGUUGCUCAUUUUUAAAGCCUCGUGUGUUUUGGUUCAUUUGUUUGCUUGUUUUCUCUGUGCUUUUGUGUUCUUUUUUCGGAUUUUUUUUUUUUCUCUGUUUUAUUUUUUUAAUUCUCCUCUUGCGCUGCAUUCCUGGCACCAAACUCCAUAAUACGUCCAUGUGCUAAAGACAUCAUGAGAUCCUGGAAGAGUUACUUCUUAAAUAAAUAUAGAAAUAAGUCUGAAUUGAGAAUGGGAACACUGUAGGGGAAGAAUUGAAACUGGAUUGGAAGAGGUUGUGAUAUAGUCCACCUUCCUUUUAAUCUAAGGGGAACAUCCCUUUGUUUUUAAUGAGAAAAGCAGCAAUUUUAAUUCAGCUUCACAUAAAAUGGAUAAUCUGGUAUUGAGCUGAGCUUUAUUUACUAAUGAAAACUAUUUAGCACUGUCAGAUAGCAUUCAAAAAAAUAAGUUUGCUGGUUUUACUUUGUUAAGAACUCUUUUCUUCCCGUUUCUAAGACUCUCAUAUGGAAGAUACAGUAAAAUAUUGCUCAGUUUUGUUCAAAAAUUUCUAAAAAAUUCUUUUUUUCAUGCUUUUCCAAGGAAUGGAAAUAGCUUAUCACCACAUCCUUAGCUACGGUAAAUUGGCAGAGCUUCUUUGACUUUAACGUAAUGAUGCUGGUUUAAAUCAUCUGAAUAUCAGGCUAUUAACUCCAUAAAGUAUUUCAUGCAGAGUUCACAUGCAAACGGUGUUUCCACUUUCUUUUUUCCUUUUUUUUUUUUUUUUCACUGUUUUCCUCUCUGCUAUGUUGACAGUCAAAUGCCCAAAGGGAUGAUCAGUGACAUUAUUUUGUCUCACCUCCAGUGCUUAUUGCAGUAAGAGAAAUCCAGAUGCCAUUUUGUCUUCUCAAGAGUUUAAUUCAUACACUCACAUACAGGCUGUUGGUAACUCUUGUUCAAGUCAGAAAUAAAUGGAAGUCAUUAAACAGGUGGGUGUCUGGGAGCCUAGAAAGUCCUGUAGUUUCUAAGAUCUGAUCAUUAAAUUUUGCCCUUUCAUAAGGUUGGUCCUUUGAUUUUGGGUGAUACAGAGGACAGUUCAAUAAUUCUCUUGAUAAUAUCUAAGCUGUUAUAGUACUGGUUUCCUUUAGAAAUGAACAAAUAAAAUUAGAAAAAUAAUAUUUACAAAAUUUACUGCACUUUUCCCAGGAAUCUUCAGGAAUACAUGUGUCUAGAGCUUAAUUGCCUUUUGACAAUCUUGUAGUUUCAAAAUGGUUUUGUCUUGUACUAAAAAACUGGAAAUCAACCAUCAUAUGGGAUUCUGCACAUCUGUCCUGGUUUCAGCUGGGACACAGUUAAUUUUCUUCCUAGUAGCGGGUAUAGCACUGUGUUUUGGAUUUAGUAUGAGAAGAAUGUUGAUAAAACGCUGUUGUUCUGGUCAUUGCUGGGUGGUUAAGGACUUUUUCAGCUUCCUGUGCUCUACCAGGUGUGCAAGAAGCUGGGAAGGAGCAAAGCCAGGACAGCUGACCCAAGCUGGCCAAAGGGGUAUUCCUACCAUAUGACAUCGUGUUCAGUAUAUAAACUGGAGUUGGCCAGCCAGCAAAUACCGCUGCUGGAAACAAACUUGUGAGUGGUGUGCAAUUGCCUUGUGCAUCACUUGUUUUGUACAUUAUAUUAUUACUAUUACUAUUACUAUUACUAUUACUAUUACUAUUACUAUUACUAUUAUUUUAUCUUCCUUUGCUGUCGUAGUAAACUGCUCUUAUCUCAA